UACGUAGGGUGCGAGCGUUGUCCGGAAUUAUUGGGCGUAAAGAGCUCGUAGGCGGUUUGUCGCGUCGACUGUGAAAACCUACAGCUUAACUGUGGGCUUGCAGUCGAUACGGGCAGACUUGAGUUCGGCAGGGGAGACUGGAAUUCCUGGUGUAGCGGUGGAAUGCGCAGAUAUCAGGAGGAACACCGGUGGCGAAGGCGGGUCUCUGGGCCGAUACUGACACUGAGAAGCGAAAGCGUGGGGAGCGAACAGG
rnacentral:rRNA from 1 species